AACGAACGCUGGCGGCAGGCCUAACACAUGCAAGUCGAGCGAGCAUUUCGGUGCUAGCGGCGGACGGGUGAGUAACGCGUGGGAACGUGCCCUUUUCUGCGGAAUAGUCCUGGGAAACUGGGGGUAAUACCGCAUACGCCCUUUUGGGGAAAGAUUUAUCGGAGAAGGAUCGGCCCGCGUUGGAUUAGGUAGUUGGUGGGGUAAUGGCCCACCAAGCCGACGAUCCAUAGCUGGUUUGAGAGGAUGAUCAGCCACACUGGGACUGAGACACGGCCCAGACUCCUACGAGAGGCAGCAGUGGGGAAUCUUAGACAAUGGGGGCAACCCUGAUCUAGCCAUGCCGCGUGAGUGAUGAAGGCCUUAGGGUUGUAAAGCUCUUUCAGCUGGGAAGAUAAUGACGGUACCAGCAGAAGAAGCCCCGGCUAACUCCGUG
rnacentral:rRNA from 1 species